rnacentral:rRNA from 1 species
UACGGGGGGGGCAAGCGUUGUUCGGAAUUACUGGGCGUAAAGCGUGCGCAGGCGGUUCGCUAAGACCGAUGUGAAAUCCCCGGGCUUAACCUGGGAACUGCAUUGGUGACUGGCGGGCUAGAGUAUGGCAGAGGGGGGUAGAAUUCCACGUGUAGCAGUGAAAUGCGUAGAGAUGUGGAGGAAUACCGAUGGCGAAGGCAGCCCCCUGGGCCAAUACUGACGCUCAUGCACGAAAGCGUGGGGAGCAAACAGG